CAGACGCUAGUUUAAUUAGUAAAAUUCAUUGUUUGGGGCAAUGUGUUCUAAGUGCAAAUCUUAGGGGUCUGA
rnacentral:tRNA from 1 species